CAAUAGCGUAUAUUAAAGUUGUUGCGGUUAAAAGCUCGUAGUUGGAUUUCUGUUCAGUGCGACCGGUCCGCCUAUCGGUUGGUAUCAGGUUCGCUCUGAGCAUUUUCCUGGGGAACAUGGCUGCGCCUCGUUGUGUGGCCUGUUGCCUGGGUCUUUUACUUUGAGGAAAUUAGAGUGUUUCAAGCAGGCGCUUGCCUUGAAUACAUUAGCAUGGAAUAAUACAAUAGGACCUCGGUUCUGUUUUGUUGGUUUCUGGAGCUGAGGUAAUGAUUAAUAGGGAUAGUCGGGGGCAUUCGUACUUAACUGUCAGAGGUGAAAUUCUUGGAUUUGUUAAAGACGAACUAGUGCGAAAGCAUUUGCCAAGGAUGUUUUCAUUGAUCAAGAACGAAAGUUAGGGGAUCGAAGAUGAUCAGAU
rnacentral:rRNA from 1 species